rnacentral:rRNA from 1 species
GAUGAACGCUAGCUACAGGCUUAACACAUGCAAGUCGAGGGGCAGCAGGGAUUUAGCUUGCUAAAUCCGCUGGCGACCGGCGCACGGGUGCGUAACGCGUAUCCAACCUUCCCGUUACUCUUGGAUAGCCUUCCGAAAGGGAGAUUAAUACAAGAUGGUAUUCAAAUUCCGCAUGUUAUUUGAAUUAAAGAUUUAUCGGUAACGGAUGGGGAUGCGUGACAUUAGAUAGUAGGCGGGGUAACGGCCCACCUAGUCUACGAUGUCUAGGGGUUCUGAGAGGAAGGUCCCCCCACACUGGAACUGAGACACGGUCCAGACUCCUACGGGAGGCAGCAGUGAGGAAUAUUGGUCAAUGGUCGGAAGACUGAACCAGCCAAGUAGCGUGAAGGGAUGAAGGUUCUAUGGAUUGUAAACUUCUUUUAUACGGGAAUAAAACCUCCCACGUGUGGGAGCUUGUAUGUACCGUAUGAAUAAGCAUCGGCUAACUCCGUG